rnacentral:tRNA from 1 species
AUUAUGACCGAGUGGUUAAUGCGAUGGAUUCCUAAGCAUUGAAAAUGCAUUUAUCUAUUGCACUCUGUGCGCGUAGGGUCGAAUCCUACCGUU